CUUACUUAGAUGCCUAAUACAUAAUUAUCCCUUCUAACUAUUGAUCAGUUUUAUACUUCUAUAAUCCUACAAUUUAACUCUAUUUAGCAUACAAUGAUUAUAUAUGACAUAACGUGUUAGUUAAUCAUAACAGAAAACAAUAUGUGAACAAUAAACUAAAACCAUUGGCUACAUCAGACCAGAGAGAG